AGGAUGAACGCUGGCGGCGUGCUUAACACAUGCAAGUCGAACGAUGAUCCCAGCUUGCUGGGGGAUUAGUGGCGAACGGGUGAGUAACACGUGAGUAACCUGCCCUUGACUCUGGGAUAAGCCUGGGAAACCGGGUCUAAUACUGGAUAUGACCUUCUGGCGCAUGCCAUGUUGGUGGAAAGCUUUAUUGCGGUUUUGGAUGGACUCGCGGCCUAUCAGCUUGUUGGUGGGGUAAUGGCCUACCAAGGCGACGACGGGUAGCCGGCCUGAGAGGGUGGACGGCCACACUGGGACUGAGACACGGCCCAGACUCCUACGGGAGGCAGCAGUGGGGAAUAUUGCACAAGUGGGCGCAAGCCUGAUGGCAGCGACGCCGCGGUGGGGGAUGAAGGCCUUCGGGUUGUAAACCUCUUCAGGUAGGAAGAAGCGAAAGUGACGUACCUGCAGAAGAGCGCCGGAUAACGUACGUG
rnacentral:rRNA from 1 species